GAUGAACGCUGGCGGCGUGCCUAAUACAUGCAAGUCGAGCGAACAGACGAGGAGCUUGCUCCUCUGACGUUAGCGGCGGACGGGUGAGUAACACGUGGAUAACCUACCUAUAAGACUGGGAUAACUUCGGGAAACCGGAGCUAAUACCGGAUAAUAUACUGAACCGCAUGGUUCAAUAGUGAAAGACGGUUUUGCUGUCACUUAUAGAUGGAUCCGCGCCGCAUUAGCUAGUUGGUAAGGUAACGGCUUAUCAAGGCAACGAUGCGUAGCCGACCUGAGAGAGGGAUCGGCCACACUGGAACUGGGACACGGUCCAGACUCCUUCGGGAGGCAGCAGUAGGGAAUCUUCCGCAAUGGGCGAAAGCUUGACGGAGCAACGCCGCGUGAGUGAUGAAGGUCUUCGGAUCGUAAAACUCUGUUAUUAGGGAAGAACAAAUGUGUAAGUAACUAUGCACGUCUUGACGGUACCUAGUCAGAAAGCCACGGCUAACUACGUG
rnacentral:rRNA from 1 species